AGUGAACGCUGGCGGUAGGCCUAACACAUGCAAGUCGAACGGCAGCACAGUAAGAGCUUGCUCUUACGGGUGGCGAGUGGCGGACGGGUGAGGAAUACAUCGGACUCUACUUUUUCGUGGGGGAUAACGUAGGGAAACUUACGCUAAUACCGCAUACGACCUACGGGUGACAGAAGGGGACCUUCGGAACUUGCGCGAUUGAAUGAGUCGAUGUCGGAUUAGCUAGUUGGCGGGGUAAAGGCCCACUAAGGCGACGAUCCGUAGCUGGUCUGAGAGGAUGAUCAGCCACACUGGAACUGAGACACGGUCCAGACUCCUACGGGAGGCAGCAGUGGGGAAUAUUGGACAAUGGGCGCAAGCCUGAUCCAGCCAUACCGCGUGGGUGAAGAAGGCCUUCGGGUUGUAAAGCCCUUUUGUUGGGAAAGAAAAGCAGCAGGUUAAUACCCCGCUGUUCUGACGGUACCCAAAGAAUAAGCACCGGCUAACUUCGUG
rnacentral:rRNA from 1 species